GAGGCAGGAGACGCCAUGACCCCCACCCUCACGACCCUGCUUCUCCUCGGGCUGAGUGUGGGACCCAGGACCCGAGCGCAGGCAGGGACCCUCCCUGCACCCUCCCUCUGGGCUGAGCCAGGCUCUGUGGUCCCUUGGGGUAGCACUGUGACCAUCUGGUGUCAGGGAAUCCUGGAGGCCCACGAGUUCCAUCUGGAUAAAGACGGACACCCAGUGCCCUGGGACAGACAGAAGCCACUGGAGCCUGGGAACAAAGCCAAGUUCUCCAUCAGAUAUGUGACAGAGCAGUAUGCAGGCCGAUAUCACUGUUCCUGUCAAAGCCCCACUGGCUCCUCAGAGGGCAGUGACCCCCUGGAGCUGGUGGUGACAGGUUUCCAUGCCAAACCCACUCUCUCAGCCCUGCCCAACCCCAUGGUGACCUCAGGAGGGAAGGUGACCCUCCAGUGCACCUCAUGGACGGGAUUCCAUAGGUUCGUCCUGAUGAGGGAAGGAGAACCCAGACCCGCCUGGACCCUCGACUCCCAGCGACCCACCAGUGGACAGUUCCAGGCCCUGUUUCCUGUGGGCCCUGUGACCCCCAGCGCCAGGUGGACGUUCAGAUGCCAUGGCUAUUUCAACAACACUCCCCAGUUGUGGUCAUACCCCAGUGACCCCCUAGAACUGCUGGUCUCAGGUGUGUCCAGGAAGCCCUCCCUCCUGACCCAGCAGAGCCCCGUCGUGACCCCUGGACAGAGGCUGACCCUCCAGUGUCGCUCUCACGUCGGCUAUGACAGAUUCGCUCUGUACAAGGAGGCGGCACAUGACCUUCCCCAGCACCUUAGCCGGCAGCCCCAGGCUGGGCCCUCGGGGGCUGACUUCCCCCUGGGCCCAGUGAACAGCUCCCACGGGGGCCGGUACACGUGCUAUGGUGGACACAACCUCUCCUCCGAGUGGUCGGCCCCCAGUGACCCCCUGGACAUCCUGGUCACAGGACAGCUCCCCUCCACACCCUCCCUCUCAGUGCAGCCAGGACCCAUGGUGGCCUCAGGAGAGAAUGUGACCCUGCUGUGUCAGUCCUGGAGCUUUGUGGACACUUUCCUUCUGUCCAAGGAGGGGGCAGCCGACCCUCCCCUGCGUCUUAGAUCAAAGUACCGAGCUGGACAUUACCAGGCCAAAUUCUCCAUGAAUCCUGUGACCUCAGCCCAGGGGGGGACCUACAGGUGCUACGGCUCAUAUAGCACCUCCCCCCACCUGUUGUCACACCCCAGUGACCCCCUGGAGCUCCAGGUCUCAGGAUCCUCUGGAGAGCCCGGCCCCCCAGCCACAGAUCCCAGCUCAACAGCUGGUCCCAACCGGUACCUGUACGUCCUCAUCGGGGCCGCGGGGGCCUUCGUCCUGCUGCUCUGCCUCCUCGUCGUCCUCCUCGUCCGUCGCCGGCGUCAGGGCAAAGGCAGGAAGCCGGGGGCCGCAGACCCAGAGCCCCAGGACAGAGGCCUGCAGGACAGCUCCGGGCCAGCUGCCGCCACCCAGGAGGAGACCCUCUCAGAUGCCGCCGUGCAAGACGCACAGCCCGAGGAGGGGGUGGAGCUGGACCAGCGGCAGGACGCGGAGGAUGGAGACCCCCAAGGAACGACCUAUGCCCAGGUGAGCCACUCAAGAUCAAGACUCAGUCGGGGACCGGCCACUUCUCCUUCCCCCCUGUGGGGGGGAUUGCCAGACACAGAAGCAGAGGAAGACAGGCAGAUGGACAGUCAGGUGGGUCCUCUCUUCUCCAGGCUCCCAGGCUCGCCCCACCCCAACCACACACCUCCCCUCUCCCUCCGCCCACUGCAGGCUGCCGCAUGUGACGCCCCCCCAGAUGUGACCUACGCCCAGCUGAACCGCUUGACGCUCAGACGGGAGACGAGUGCACCCCAUUCCUCCCAAGCCGGGGAGCCUCCAGCAGAGCCCAGCGUGUAUGCUGCUCUGGCCAUCCGCUAGCCCAGGAAGGACCCACAGCCCACACUCCAGGGAGGGGACCGCGGGGACCCCAGGAGGCGCAGGAGCUGCCCACAGAGGCCGCCUAAUGGCCCCAGCCAGCCUGGACUCCUAACAUAGACCAAUUUACUGGAUACAUGGUCAAUAUUUAGAAAUCAGUUGCAUUCAGAGUUCCAGUUCUGGAUGAAGAUAGAGUAGGUGGAUGCCCCCCUAUUUCUUUAUACUGGUGAGACUGAUUAUUUACUUCUGACCUCCAGAAUUAUAAUAAAUUUAUGUUAUCUUAAGAUACCAAGUUUGUGGUCAUUUAUGACAACAGCAAUUAGAAACUAAUACAACCACUUAAAUUUUCUUUUGAUUAAUGUUUGCUUAGUACAUUUUUCAUUCUUCUACUUUUUUAUGUUUUUAUUUAUUUUUUGAGAGAGAGAAAUAGAAUGUGAGUGGGGGAGGGACAGAGAGAGAGAAGGAAACACAGAAUCUGAAGCAGGUUCCAGGCUCUGCAGUGUCAGCACAGACCACGAUGUGGGACUUGAACUCACAAACUGUGAAAUCAUGACCUGAGCUGAAGUCAGAUGCUCAACUAAUUGAGCCACCCAGGCACCCCUCUUCUACCUUUUCAUGUGGUUACAUUACAUAAAAUUCACCAUUUUAACCAUCACUAAAGCAUAUAAUUCAGUGGCAUGAAGUAUAUUUACCAUCUUAGAUAAUCAUCACCACUAUCCAUUUCCAGAACACUGUUAUUAUACCAAAUGGAAACUCCCUACACAUUAAAUAAUUACUCCCAUGUCCCUUUGCCACCAGCCCUUGUCAAUCUCUGUUCCAAUUCCUAUGUCUGUGACUUUGUCUACUUAGUACCUCUAAGUGGAAUCAUACAAUAUGCGACUUUUUGUGUCUGGAUUUUUUACUUAGCACAAUGUUUUCAAGAUUCAUCCACAUUGUUCAUUCUUUUGCUUUUCACCCAUUUACACCAUUAUAUUUGAAGUGAAUUUCUUAUAGACUGCAAAUAGAGUUUUGCUUAUCGUUGUUUUUCUUUUUUUAAUCUUUAAUUUUUUUUUAAUUUACAUCCAAGUUAGUUAGCAUAUAGUGCAACAAUGAUUUCAGGAGUAGAUUCCUUAAUGCCUCUUACUCAUUUAGCCCAUCCCCCCAUCCCACAACCCCUCCAGUAACCCUCUGUUUGUUCUCCAUAUCUAAGAGUCUCUUAUGUUUUGUCCCUCUCCCAGUGUUUAUAUUGGGAAGCAAAACUAAUAUAGUUGUUUUUCUUAAGCCCAUCUUAAAAUCUUUGUCUUUUAAGUGUUGUAUUUAGAUCAUUUACAUAUAGUGUAAUUCCUGAUAAGAUUGUUAUUAGAUUUCCCAUUUUAUUUUUGUUUGUCCCCUCUUUUGUUUGUUCUUCUAUUUUUCCUCUUCUGCCUUUAAAAAUAUUUUAUUGACAUUUUAACAAUAUUUAUUCUUCUAAUCCAUGAUCAUGGAUUGUUUUUCCAUUUCUUUGUAUUUUCUUCAAUUUCCUUCAUAAGCUUUCUAUAGUUUUCAGCAUACAGAUCUUUUACAUCUUUGUUUAGGUUUAUUCCUAGGUAUUUUAUGGUUCUUAGUGCAAUUGUGAAUGGGAUCGGUUUCUUUAUUUCUCUUUCCGUUGCUUUAUUAUUGGUGUAUAAAAAUGCAACUGAUUUCUUUACAUUAAUUUUCUACCCUGCGACUUUGCUGAAUUCAUGUAUCAGUUCUAGCAUACUUUUGGUGGAGUCUGUCAGGUUUCCCAUGUGCAGUAUCAUAUCGUCUGCAAAAAGUGAAAGUUUGACUUCAUCUUUGCCAAUUUUGAUGCCUUUGAUUUCCUUUUCUUGUCUGUUUGCUGAUGCUCACACUUCCAACAGUAUGUUAAGCAACAGCAGUGACAGUGGACAUCCCUGUUGUGUUCCUGAUCUCAGGGGGAAAGCUCUCAGUUUUUCCCCAUUGAGGAUGAUAUUAGCUGUGGGCUUUUCAUAAAUGGCUUUUAUGAUGUUCCUUCUAUCUCGACUUUCUCGAGGGUUUUUAUUAAGAAAGGAUGCUGUAUUUUGUCAAAUGCUUUUUCUGCAUCAAUUGACAGGAUCAUAUGGUUCUUAUCUUUUCUUUUAUUAAUGUGAUGUAUCACAUUGAUUGAUGUGAGAGUAUUGAGGCAACCCUGCAGCCCAGAAAUGAAUCCCGCUUGAUCAUGGUGAAUAAUUCCUUUUAUAUGGUGUUGAAUUCGAUUUGCUAGUAUCUUGUUGAGAAUUUUUGCAUCCGUAUUCAUCAGGGAUAUUGGCCUGUAGUUCUCUUUCUUUGCUGGACCUCUGUCUGGUUUGGGAAUCAAAGUAAUGCUGGCCUCAUAGUAUGAAUCUGGAAGCUUUCCUUCCCUUUCUAUUUUUUGGAACAGCCUGAGAAGGAUAGGUAUUAUCUCUGCUUUAAAUGUCUGGUAGAAUUCCCCAGGGAAGCCAUCUGGUCCAGGACUUAUUUGUUGGGAGAUUUUUGAUAACUGAUUCCAUUUCUUCACUGGUUAUGCAUCUGUUCAAAUUUUCUAUUUCUUCCCUUUGAGUUUUGGAAGUGUAUGGCAUUCAAUGCAAUAGCAAUCAAAAUUGCACCAGCAUUCUUCUCAAAGCUAGAAAAAGCGAUCCUAAAAUUUGUAUGGAAUUACAAAAGACCCCGAAUAGCUAAAGUAUUAUUAAAUUUAAAAAGUUUUUAAUGUUUAUUUAUUUUUGCAGAGAGAGAGACAGACAGAGCAUGAGUGGGGGAGGGGCAGAGAGAGAGGGAGACACAGAAUCUGAAACAGGCCCCAGGCUCUGAGCUGUCAGCACAGAGCCUGAUGCUCGAACAAACAGACAGCGAGAUCAUGACCUGAGCCGAAGUCAGACCCUCAACCAACUGAGCCACACAGGUGCCCCACCAAAGUAAUAUUGAAGAAGAAAACCAAAGUGGGAGGCAUCACAAUCCCAGACUUUAGCCUCUACUACAAAGCUGUAAUCAUCAAUACAGUAUGGUGUUGGCACAAAAACAGACACAUAGACCAAUGGAAUAGAAUAGAGACCCCAGAUUUGGACCCACAAAUAUAUGGCCAACUAAUCUUUGACAAAGCAGGAAAGAGUAUCCAAUGGAAAAAAGACAGACUCUCUAACAAAUGGUGCUGGGAGAACUGGACAGCAACAUGCAGAAGAAUGAAACUAGACCACUUUCUUACACCAUUCACAAAAAUAAACUCAAAAUGGAUGAAAGACCUGAAUGUGAAACAGGAAACCAUUAAAACCCUAGAGGAGAAAGCAGGAAAAAACCUCUUUGACUUCAGCCGCAGCAAUUUCUUACUCGACGCAUCUCCAAAGGCAAGGGAAUUAAAACCAAAAAUGAACUAUUGGGACCUCAUCAAGAUAAAAA